CCUGGGUUUGACAUAUGGAGAAAUCUCCCAGAGAUGGGAGGUCCGUAAGGGCUCCAUACAGGUGGUGCAUGGCUGUCGUCAGCUCGUGUCGUGAGAUGUUGGGUUAAGUCCCGCAACGAGCGCAACCCUCGUCUUAUGUUGCCAGCACGUAAUGGUGGGGACUCAUAAGAGACUGCCGGGGUCAACUCGGAGGAAGGUGGGGAUGACGUCAAGUCAUCAUGCCCCUUAUGUCCAGGGCUUCACGCAUGCUACAAUGGCCGGUACAAAGGGCUGCGAUACCGCAAGGUGGAGCGAAUCCCAAAAAGCCGGUCUCAGUUCGGAUUGGGGUCUGCAACUCGACCCCAUGAAGUCGGAGUCGCUAGUAAUCGCAGAUCAGCAACGCUGCGGUGAAUACGUUCCC
rnacentral:rRNA from 1 species